GCAUAUCAAUAAGCGGAGGAAAAGAAACCAACAGGGAUUGCCUCAGUAACGGCGAGUGAAGCGGCAAAAGCUCAAAUUUGAAAUCUGGCACCGUUAGGUGUCCGAGUUGUAAUUUGGAGAGGAUACUUCGGGUGUGGCUACGGCGUAAGUCCCUUGGAACAGGGCGUCAUAGAGGGUGAGAAUCCCGUCUUAAGUCGUUUGUCCACGCCCAUGCGAAGUUCCUUCGACGAGUCGAGUUGUUUGGGAAUGCAGCUCUAAGUGGGUGGUAAAUUUCAUCUAAAGCUAAAUAUUGGCCGGAGACCGAUAGCGAACAAGUAGAGUGAUCGAAAGGUUAAAAGCACCUUGAAAAGGGAGUUAAAUAGCACGUGAAAUUGUUGAAAGGGAAGCGCUUGCAACCAGACUCGGUCACAGGGGCUCAGCAGGCAUGCGUGCCUGUGUACUCCCCUGUGUUCGGGCCAGCAUCAGUUCUGGCGGUUGGUUAAAGGCCCUUGGAAUGUAUCGUCCUCCGGGACGUCUUAUAGCCAAGGGUGUAAUGCAGCCAGCUGGGACUGAGGAACGCGCUUCGGCACGGAUGCUGGCGUAAUGGUUGUAAGCGACCCGUCUUGAAACACGGACC
rnacentral:rRNA from 1 species